rnacentral:misc_RNA from 1 species
AAGCAAGUAAUAACAACAAUAAUGCUCUAACAUGGAAUAAGGAGUUUCACUCCUCCUUCCUACAAGAAAAGAAUAAUAUUCUUUUUUUCUUUUUUGUUCUUUCUCUUCUUUUCGCUUUUUUUGCGAUAACAUAAAAUCUAAAAAUUCUAAAAAUAAAAAAAAUUAUUCUUUUAUAAACUUUUCUUGAUUAUAACCAUAAUAGGAGAGAUACCACCUAACGAAUUUUCCCAACCCGGUUUGCAAGUUGGUUGUUGGUUUAUACCCGAGUUCCUUUUGGGCCAAACUAAUAUUCGCAUGGGUAAACGGAACGUCGCCGUUUCCAGGCAUAUCCAAUACAUGUUUUUUAGCUUUUACUUUCAAAUGCUUCUCUAACAUCGCAACCAUCAUCGGUACCGUAACGGGCGAAGUAUUACCCAAAUUAAAUAUCCGAAACAUAGCCGGGCCCCGUUUUUUCCCACCCGACCCGGUACUCUUCCCUGCUGUAUCAAGUGACCCAACACACCCUUUCACGAUAUCAUCGAUGUACGUAAAAUCACGUGCUAAAUCAACUCGAUUCUUACCUCGAUAAACCGUAAUCGGUUUCCCUUGUAAUAUAUUGCGGGUAAAGCUGAAAUAAGCCAUGUCGGGUCUUCCCCACGGUCCGUAAACUGUGAAGAAUCUUAACCCGGUUAUCGAUAAACCGUAAAUAUGAUUAUACGUGUGUGUAAUUUCUUCACCUGCUUUUUUCGUAGCGGCGUACAAUGAAGCGGGUUGAUCAGUCCGAUCCGAUUCGGAAAACGGUACUUUUUCGUUUAACCCGUAAACAGAACUUGAACUCGCCCAAACAAUGGCGGGUUGUGGGUUCGAAUUUUUACAAACUUCGAGCAGGGAAACAAGGCCGGCGAUGUUACUGUGUAUAUACGAACCUGGAUUUUCCAUGGCGUAACGAACUCCAGCUUGAGCAGCCAGAUGCAUUACAUGUGUAAAUCGAGCAAUGUCGAACAACUUUACCAACAAUUUUGAAUCGUUGAUAUCACCAUCGACGAUGAAAAUCGAAUUCUGGGUGAGUAGAUUCUUUCGAGCUUUUUUCAACGACGGAUCGUAGUAGUUGUUGAAAUUAUCGAUUCCUACAACUCCGUCGCCUCGUUUCUUCAAGGCGAGGGAGACGUGGGAACCGACGAAACCGGCUGCGCCGGUAACUAACACCGACAUUCCGCCGUGAGAGCGGCGGAUCUGAGCCGAAUUAAUAACAUUUCUCUCCCAAUGAUGACCACCCCAUGUAGAGGUGAAAUACCGGUUACCGGAAUCCAUAAACGACUGAAAACACAAAUAUGAAGCUGUUAAAGCUAUUAAAAACAAUGCCCAUAGAAACAUGUUGCUUGUAGAUGCAAAACAUCGAUGAAAAUGUCGAUUUCUAUCCUUGAAUUUUCCCGGUGUAGACGGAAACAACUCCUCCUCUAACGAAGGCAUAACUCAAAAAUUUCUUCUAUCACUAUUUUUAUUUUCAAUUUAUUUUAUUUCAGCAGAUGCAGAGAACAAUUUGUUGAAAAAUU